AUCCAGCAGACGUGUGGCAACCUUAACACUCUUUAAAAUGUGAUUCCUGGACCAGUAGCAGGUCUUGGAUUGCUCAGUGCUGGAACACAAUAACCCAUUAGGAAACAAGGAGGCUGAUGUAAUUGCUUUUUUCUUUCUUCUGGUCCGUGUUGUCAAAAAAGAUGGGAACCCCUCACCUAGAGGACAUUAACUCCCAUAUUCCCUCUACUUUAACUUCUCUUUUGGUCUCCACCAAGUCUUGAGACAGCCUAUACAACUCUAGCUGAUACAGGAAUUGUUGGUCUACCACUGCCUCCAUCGGUUAGUUUGUUCCACUGUAUGACUUGUUUGUUUCGUUUAAAGUCCAAAUAUAACCUCGCCCCAAUCUGAUUUAACCACCGCGGUCUCAUCCCCGCGGGCAAAAUGGACUCAUUUGUGCGGAGAGAGGAGAAGAAAAGAAACAGGAGAGUGGAUAGAAGCGGGAGAAUGGAAGUCCAGCGGAGAAGAAAAGCGGGCGGUGGAGAGGGUGGAGGGGUAUGAAGGGGUCGGCAGUGAAUGGAGAGUGUGAUGAAGAGAGGAAGGCAAGAAGAGACAAGAUGUGCUCAGUGAACGAGGUCACUAAUUGGGUUGAGACUUGUAGCUCCCCUGCAAUCCCUUCGCCUCACUCCCGACAGAAGUCAAAUUAUUUCAAAAUUCCUUAAUAAGAGCAAGAAAAAUAUGUUAAUUUUCAGGCAGAUUGUAGAUUGCAGGGGCAUGAGAGGAGGAGGGGGACAUUACAAAACCAAAUAACAAGUGUGGCAGUAUUAAGACACUGAAUAUUACUUUGUACUUGACAAUCUUUUCUCUUUGAUUCAGGAAAGUUAAGGGUGGGGGAAAAAAAGACAGGAUGACACAAAUUCUCUCUGUUUCCACUGUGUGAUACAAUACUGAUACCUGAACGAUCACUGGACGCUGAUCAGACACCAUUCUGGUUCGGUGCGCUAAUACCAACAAGGAAACAGUGGAGUGGAAUGGGCUGUUCAUUAGAUUGUAGUAAUAGUUGUGCAUUACAUUUUUUCAGAAAUGAGCAUCUGAAUUCUUCAUAUUUGUAUAGAGGUCAGAAAAGAUUCACAGCAGAAAAAUCAGCACAGACUCAUUUUAUUUUUUCUUUCUUUUCAAGGUUUAUUCAUUAAAUGGAUAUAUAAUAUGGAUGUUUAUUGUGGCGGUGCAGACCAUUUGUGAAAAUGGUGAAGUGUUGAUCGAUCUAUAGAUAAAUGCAAUGAUGGUGGUUCCUGAUCAAAGUCUGUAAAUACUUGUAACACAGUAUGUAAACACUUCGACCCCGACCAUGAAGCACUUCAAACCGGCUCUGAAUUAGUUUUAAUGUCAUUGUUUUGAAAAUUCUCUAUGUGUUUAAGCUGCUCUUGUUCUCAUUGUUUUGCUGCGACGUGUUUUAUGUUUUUUUUUGUAAUCUUGCUUUCAUAACAUGCUGCAUGAAUGAAGAUUACAAGUGUUGACAGUGGAAAUGUUGAAUACUGCUUUUAGACGUUUUCAUCAAAGCUACUGCUACUUGUAGUGAAAAUAAACA